rnacentral:rRNA from 1 species
GCCCAGACUCCUACGGGAGGCAGCAGUGGGGGAUAUUGCACAAUGGGGGAAACCCUGAUGCAGCGACGCCGCGUGGGUGAAGAAGCGCCUCGGCGCGUAAAGCCCUUUCAGCAGGGAAGAAAAUGACGGUACCUGAGUAAGAAGCCCCGGCUAACUACGUGCCAGCAGCCGCGGUAAUACGUAGGGGGCAAGCGUUAUCCGGAUUUACUGGGUGUAAAGGGAGCGUAGACGGCAGUGCAAGUCUGGAGUGAAAGGCGGGGGCUCAACCCCCGGACUGCUCUGGAAACUGCGCGGCUGGAGUGCAGGAGGGGCAGGCGGAAUUCCUGGUGUAGCGGUGAAAUGCGUAGAUAUCAGGAGGAACACCGGUGGCGAAGGCGGCCUGCUGGACUGCGACUGACGUUGAGGCCCGAAAGCGUGGGGAGCAAACAGGAUUAGAUACCCUCGUA